AUAAAGAAAUGGCAAACCCCACCUCCCUUUCAGUCCUAGGACCCGACACAUCCUUCUACUGUCUUCUGUCCUCUGGUUUGUUUGCCCAUCAAAUCACAAACUUAAGACUCAUGAGGGCUCCAUAUUGAGAUGCCUGGUGCAUGUGAGCACUGACCAUUGCCCAGCACCACUGUGUUCUUCCUUAUGUCCAGAGCAAAGACUUAAAGAAUCUUUUACAGAUAAGAAACUAAUAUCUGAAAAUGGGAGCCUCCUGUCCUGAGAGAAUGCAAGACCAGUUUCUUAUGAAGACCUUCAGCUCUUCAGUUCUGAGUUUAGUGUUGUCUCCCUCUCUGCAAUAGUUUCAAGCCUGUGGAUGCUCUUGGGCUUAUGUGCUUCAUUGGAAACACUGUCAGUCAUUUGCUACCACUAAGUCACUGAUCCAAGACAUUUCCUUACUUCCCACCACUUUACA